AGAGUUUGAUCCUGGCUCAGGAUGAACGCUAGCGAUAGGCUUAACACAUGCAAGUCGAGGGGCAGCAUGAUCUUAGCUUGCUAAGGUCGAUGGCGACCGGCGCACGGGUGCGUAACGCGUAUGCAACUUGCCUUACAGAGGGGGAUAACCCGUUGAAAGACGGACUAAAACCGCAUACACUUGUAUUAUUGCAUGAUAUUACAAGGAAAUAUUUAUAGCUGUAAGAUAGGCAUGCGUCCCAUUAGCUGGUUGGUGAGGUAACGGCUCACCAAGGCGACGAUGGGUAGGGGAACUGAGAGGUUUAUCCCCCACACUGGUACUGAGACACGGACCAGACUCCUACGGGAGGCAGCAGUGAGGAAUAUUGGUCAAUGGGCGAGAGCCUGAACCAGCCAAGUCGCGUGAAGGAAGACUGUCCUAAGGAUUGUAAACUUCUUUUAUACGGGAAUAACGGGCGAUACGAGUAUUGCAUUGAAUGUACCGUAAGAAUAAGCAUCGGCUAACUCCGUGCCAGCAGCCGCGGUAAUACGGAGGAUGCGAGCGUUAUCCGGAUUUAUUGGGUUUAAAGGGUGCGUAGGUUGUUCGGUAAGUCAGCGGUGAAACCUGAGCGCUCAACGUUCAGCCUGCCGUUGAAACUGCCGGGCUUGAGUUCAGUGGCGGCAGGCGGAAUUCGUGGUGUAGCGGUGAAAUGCAUAGAUAUCACGAGGAACUCCGAUUGCGAAGGCAGCUUGCCAUACUGCGACUGACACUGAAGCACGAAGGCGUGGGUAUCAAACAGGAUUAGAUACCCUGGUAGUCCACGCAGUAAACGAUGAUUACUAGGAGUUUGCGAUAUACCGUCAAGCUUCCACAGCGAAAGCGUUAAGUAAUCCACCUGGGGAGUACGCCGGCAACGGUGAAACUCAAAGGAAUUGACGGGGGCCCG
rnacentral:rRNA from 1 species